GCUUUCGUAGCUCAAUGGAAGAGCAACGGCCUUCGAAGCCGUAGGAUGCUGGUUCGAAUCCAACCGGGCGCCCCA
rnacentral:tRNA from 1 species